GACGAACGCUGGCGGCGUGCUUAACACAUGCAAGUCGAACGGAAAGCCCUGCUUUUGUGGGGUGCUCGAGUGGCGAACGGGUGAGUAACACGUGAGUAACCUGCCCUUGACUUUGGGAUAACUUCAGGAAACUGGGGCUAAUACCGGAUAGGAGCUCCUGCUGCAUGGUGGGGGUUGGAAAGUUUCGGCGGUUGGGGAUGGACUCGCGGCUUAUCAGCUUGUUGGUGGGGUAGUGGCUUACCAAGGCUUUGACGGGUAGCCGGCCUGAGAGGGUGACCGGCCUCAUUGGGACUGAGAUACGGCCCAGACUCCUACGGGAGGCAGCAGUGGGGAAUAUUGCACAAUGGGCGGAAGCCUGAUGCAGCAACGCCGCGUGCGGGAUGACGGCCUUCGGGUUGUAAACCGCUUUCGCCUGUGACGAAGCGUGAGUGACGGUAAUGGGUAAAGAAGCACCGGCUAACUACGUG
rnacentral:rRNA from 1 species